AGGUUUUCGAUAUGGUUGUUGAGGGUAAUGAGUUCGACCCUUUUCCAUUUCAUUGCUUUUGUCAUCUUCAUUCUGUUUUGAUUCCAAUGGGCUAUGCACAUAUUAAGAUGACUUAUUUUAGCUUGUAAGCAAUUGCUGUUGGACGGGUCAUGGAAGUCCUUUGUGUAAUUAAGUAUAGCAGUGGAAUGGUUUUCAGUGGUCUUGGAGAUAGAGUCCCUAGGGUACAAGAUAAGAAAAUCAUGAUAAUAAGAAAGAUGGGAUUGAUUUGCAAGCUUGCCACGGUGGGCUGCUGGAGGAUUGGCUGAGUCUAAAGGAGCUUCUUGUGAGCUGACAGCUGAGGAACUCUAGUCAGCUUUCUAUCACUUUAUCCAACCUCUGAUGAUCCUCCUGUUGGCAAAUCAUUGAAUUAUAGGACUGAUGGUCUCUACUUUAAUUGAAUAAGGUCUCAUUUUUCUGGCUUCGCCAAUGAAAUAAGGUAGUUGAAUAGAGUGAGAUAUCUAGAUGGUGUUCCAUGGGUGAAUGUAAGUGUGAGUGUGUGACUCCUACUACUUUAAAUGUGAACCCUUCAAAAGCCUCUAAGCUUGCAUUCAGUCCUCUCUCAGUUGAUGGUGGAAAAAAAGGUUAACUGGCACACCCCUUGAUGAGGUAAUUCACUUAAUGUACAUGUCUUCCAGUGGAUACAUCUAUGUCCGUAUGUUCUUGAAAGUUUAGGACCCUUGCCCUAAUGCUUUUUUGCUAGUCUAUGUUGAGCUUUGCCAAAUCAUCUUAUUUGCCUUUUUUACAACUUACCUAAAACUGAAACUUGACAAGUGGAAUCCCGAAACUGUCACAAUUCAAGAUUGCAUAUGUGGAAUAUUUUGAGGGUUAUAAGUAUUUUCAUUUUUAUCGGAAUUGGUUGCAUUUGAAUUUCCUUUCAUAGCAUGUAAGCUACAUCUUUCAGUUGGAAAGUUAUUGCAUAGAAAUUGUUUAUGUCAACCUGGUUUGUUGACUUGUGGGAACUGGGAAGAAUUUGGUUUGGUUCUUAUGCACUGUAAUUGCAUAAAGACUCAUGCAUUUUGUUUGUUAAGUCUGAACAUUUAGUUCAACAUGCAAUGUAAAGUUUGAUGAUUGAUAGGGGGUUAAACAUUUGGUUUGAAUCUCAAUUACUAAAUUGACUGGAUAAAUUUCAGUUAAUAUGGUUAGGCUUGGUUUUUCCACCUUUAAAAACUGAAAGAGCAGAAAUAUAGCUAGAUAUACUUUUAACUUUUAGUUUGGUUAAAUUGGCUUUGGUUCAGUUUGGUUAUUAAGCUAUUUUAGCUUUAGAAUUUUGAACAAAUCAAACAAAUUAUCAUAACUGAAUUAAAUCAAACCAAUUGGACCUGGAUCUUUUGUCACUUGCCUAUAAAAGU
rnacentral:misc_RNA from 1 species